AUGCUUCCUUUUUUUUGUGUGUGUGGUUUUCUUCUACCAAAGCUAGCAGUUUAUUCUUAGAAGUUCAUCUGAGUUACAAUUAUGUUUCCUUAAAUUGCUUCUUGUGUCACUUUGACUAUCUUGUCUUUCCUAUCACAGUAAUUUUAUUUUGUUGAUUAAAUGAUUUUAAUUAGAGGUGUUCACGAAUUGACCCAAUCUGAUAUAAAUCACUAAAUGUGACCUGACAAAUCGAAAACAAAAAACGUGUUUAUUUGAUUUGAUUUUUUGGGUUACAUUUUGAAGUCUGAUUUGGUCCAAAUCAAACUGAACUUUUUAAACUCAAUACAGAAUUUGUUUUAAAUUAGAUUAUUGUGAUUUAAAACACUAAGCAACAAUAAACUGAUUUUAUUUAUAUUUUAAAUCCAAAUCACAACACCCUGAUAUACUGUGCAUUUCAAUGUUUUAUUUAUCAUCUGUUGUAAAGCAAAUAAAGUUAAAUAAAAAAAGUUGAUUCAGACAAAUCACUUUAUAUUACCUAUUGAUUGGAUCGUAAAUAAGGAAACUGAUUGAUGAAUUUUUUUCUCUCUCUCAAAGGAAGACAUAAUUCAACCCUCCAAUACCUCUGUUAGAUAUAGUUUGGAUAUUUGUCAGGGAAAGUUGGUUACAAUGGUUAGUUAGUUUAGUUUGGAUCACUAUGCUUAUAUUUUUUUUUUGUAUGUUUGUGUUAUUGACUUAUAGGAACACUUACAUAAUAACACACUCUAUAACGGGACUUUCAGGUACACCGGAGAAGAUGGAUUUGAGAUCUCAGUUCCUUCAGAGCAUGGAGUAGAUCUUGCCAAGGCAAUACUUGAAAAAUCUGAAGGGAAAAUAAGACUGACAGGACUUGGUGCUAGAGAUAGUUUACGCCUUGAAGCUGGAUUGUGCCUCUAUGGCAAUGACAUGGAACAGCACAUUACACCAAUUGAGGCAGGACUGACAUGGGCUAUAGGUAAGAGGAGAAGAGCAGAAGGUGGUUUUCUAGGAGCUGAUGUUAUCUUGAAACAGCUCGCAGAUGGUCC
rnacentral:lncRNA from 1 species